CAGCCGCCGCGGUAAUACGAAGGGUGCAAGCGUUACUCGGAAUUACUGGGCGUAAAGCGUGCGUAGGUGGUGGUUUAAGUCCGUUGUGAAAGCCCUGGGCUCAACCUGGGAAUUGCAGUGGAUACUGGAUCACUAGAGUGUGGUAGAGGAUAGUGGAAUUUCCGGUGUAGCAGUGAAAUGCGUAGAGAUCGGGAGGAACAUCAGUGGCGAAGGCGGCCAUCUGGGACAACACUGACGCUGAGGCACGAAAGCGUGGGGAGCAAACAGGAUUAGAUACCCCAGUAGUCCCUGUCUCUUAUAC
rnacentral:rRNA from 1 species